AUUGAACGCUGGCGGCAGGCCUAACACAUGCAAGUCGAGCGAGUGGCGGACGGGUGAGUAAUGUAUGGGGAUUUCCCGAUUGAUGGGGAACACUACUUGAAACUGUGUCUUAUUCCGCCUACCAGCGGAUAACCCAUAUGGGAUUAGCUAGUAGGUAAGGUAAUGGCUUACCUAGGCGACGAUCCCUAGCUGGUCUGAGAGGAUGAUCAGCCACAGUGGGACUAGGAAACGCCCCAAACUCGUACGGAGGCAGGAGUGGGGAAUAUUGCACAAGGGGCGCAAGCGUGAUGCAGGCAUGCCGCGUGUAUGAAGAAGGCCCUAGGGUUGUAAAGUACUUUCAGUCGGGAGGCGUUACCGACAGAAGAAGCACCGGCUAACUCCGUGCCAGCAGCCGCGGUAAUUC
rnacentral:rRNA from 1 species